rnacentral:rRNA from 1 species
AGUGAACGCUGGCGGUAGGCCUAACACAUGCAAGUCGAACGGCAGCACAGUAAGAGCUUGCUCUUACGGGUGGCGAGUGGCGGACGGGUGAGGAAUACAUCGGAAUCUACUUUUUCGUGGGGGAUAACGUAGGGAAACUUACGCUAAUACCGCAUACGACCUACGGGUGAAAGCAGGGGAUCUUCGGACCUUGCGCGAUUGAAUGAGCCGAUGUCGGAUUAGCUAGUUGGCGGGGUAAAGGCCCACCAAGGCGACGAUCCGUAGCUGGUCUGAGAGGAUGAUAAGCCACACUGGAACUGAGACACGGUCCAGACUCCUACGGGAGGCAGCAGUGGGGAAUAUUGGACAAUGGGCGCAAGCCUGAUCCAGCCAUACCGCGUGGGUGAAGAAGGCCUUCGGGUUGUAAAGCCCUUUUGUUGGGAAAGAAAAGCAGCAGGUUAAUACCCCGCUGUUCUGACGGUACCCAAAGAAUAAGCACCGGAUAACUUCGUG